rnacentral:lncRNA from 10 species
UGCAGAGACAAGAAAGGGGUCUCGGGCCGGGCGCGGUAGCUCACCCAGUCUAAUCUUUUUAUUUUCCAAAUGAUGCUGCAAUAAAUAAAUUUGUAUGUCAUUUCACACAUUUUAGGAAAAGUACAUGUAUUUAUAAUUUUGAUAGAUUUUAUCAAAUUUACCUCUCCUGAGUUUGUACCAAUUUGCACUCCAAACAGGAAGAUAUGAGGGUACUGUUGUCUUAUACCAAUGACAUUUUGUUAUCCAGACUCUUGAGCUUUAGCAAUUUCAUUAGAACAAAAAUGGUUUCUUGCAGUUUUAAUGUAAAUUUCAUUUACUAUAGGGGAGGCUGAGUAAAUUUUCAUAUGUUGUAAGACCCUAUAUUAGUUUGCUAGGGCUGCUGAAGCAAAGUACCACAAACUGGUAUUACUUUAAAUAACAGAAAUACAUUGUCACAUUCUGGAGGCUAAAAGUCUGAGACUGAGGUAUCUUGCAGGUUUGUUCCAAGUGGUGUGAGGAAGGAUCUGUUCCAUGUCUCUGCCCUAUCUUCCAAUAGGUUGCUGGUAGUUCCUGGCAUUCUUUGGCUUGUAGAAGCGUCACUCUGAUUACUGCCUUCAUCUUCAUGUGGCCUUCUCCCUGUGUGUUUGUGUCCAGAUUUUCCUUUAAUAUUUAUUUUUACACCUUUCUUUAAGGAGACCAGUCAAAUUGGAUUAGGGCCCUCCCUACUGACUUCAUUUUAACUAGAUUCAUUUAACUAGAUUAAGACUCUAUUUCCAAAUAAGGUCACAUUCUGAGGUACUGGGGGCUAGGAUUUAGACAUAUGAAUCUUAGGGGGAAUACAAUUCAACCCAUAACAGAGCCAAUUAUAUUUUCUUACAUUUUCUGUUGACAUAAUUUAUCUAUUGAGUCUUUUAAAAUUGGCUGGGAAUGGUGGCUCAUGCCUGUAAUCCCAGCACUUUGGGAGGCCAAGGUGGGAGAGUUGCUUGAGCUCAGGAGUUUGAGAACAGCCUGGGCAAUAUAGUGAAACCCCAUCUCUACAAAAAUUAGUCAGGCAUGGUGGUUCGUGCCUGUGGUCCCAGCUGCUCAGGAGGCCGAGGAUGAAAGAUCACUUUAGCCGGGAAGUGG